GAUGAACGCUGGCGGCGUGCCUAAUACAUGCCAGUCGAGCGAACAGAUAAGGAGCUUGCUCCUUUGACGUUAGCGGCGGACGGGUGAGUAACACGUGGGUAACCUACCUAUAAGACUGGAAUAACUCCGGGAAACCGGGGCUAAUGCCGGAUAACAUGUUGAACCGCAUGGUUCUACAGUGAAAGGCGGCUUUGCUGUCACUUAUAGAUGGACCCGCGCCGUAUUAGCUAGUUGGUGAGGUAACGGCUCACCAAGGCAACGAUACGUAGCCGACCUGAGAGGAUGAUCGGCCACACUGGAACUGAGACACGGUCCAGACUCCUACGGGAGGCAGCAGUAGGGAAUCUUCCGCAAUGGGCGAAAGCCUGACGGAGCAACGCCGCGUGAGUGAUGAAGGUCUUCGGAUCGUAAAACUCUGUUAUUAGGGAAGAACAAAUGCGUAAGUAACUGUGCGCGUCUUGACGGUACCUAAUCAGAAAGCCACGGCUAACUACGUG
rnacentral:rRNA from 1 species